rnacentral:rRNA from 1 species
UUGGAGGAAUGUAUAGCGAAAGCUAAUUGUAUUAACCAACAGUUGAUGCAAUAUCGACUAUGUCGACUAAAAUUCUAGGUAGAGUAAUGAUAAUGACAUUUUUUACCUAUAGGUCUUGACCAAAUCACGUGCCAGCAGUCGCGGUAAUUCGUGGAAGACUAGUGUUAUUCAUCUUUAAUAGGUUUAAAGGGUACCUAGACGGUAUAUCUAGCCCAAAAAGGGUACUGGUAAACUAGAGUUUAAUGUGAGGGGGGGAGUACUAAUGGAGUAGAGAUGAAAUUCUGUCAUACCAAGAGGUAACAGGUAUCGGCGAAAGCAACCCUUUAUGCAAAAACUGACGUUGAGGGACGAAGGCCUCGGUCACAAACAGGAUUAGAUACCCUAGUAGUCUGGGCAGACAACGCUGAAUGCCAUAGAUUAGAUUGUAUUUCUUCUAUAAAUGAAAGUGUAAGCAUUCCACCUCAAGAGUAAUUUGGCGACAUAGAAACUGAAAUCAUUAGACCGUUUCUGAAACCAGUAGUGAAGUAUGUUGUUUAAUUUGUUGGCCCUCAAAAAACCUUACCACAAUUUGAAUAUUUUUAUAUUUCUUAUAAUUAUACAGGAGUUGCACGGCUGUCUUCAGUUAAUGUCGUGAGAAUUUGGUUAGUUCCAAAAAAUUAACGUAAACCCUUACUUUAUUUUUUUUUAUAAAGUUGUUCACCGCUAUAUUGGAUAUGAUAAAAGGA